GGGGAUGUGGCUCAAGUGGUAAGGUGCUCGCUUGGCAUGCGUGAGGUGCUGGGUUUGAUCCUCAGCACCCCA
rnacentral:tRNA from 1 species